rnacentral:rRNA from 1 species
CCUACGGGAGGCUGCAGUGAGGAAUAUUGGUCAAUGGGCGGGAGCCUGAACCAGCCAAGUCGCGUGAGGGAAGACGGUCCUAUGGAUUGUAAACCUCUUUAGGCGGGGAGCAAUGCCGGGCACGCGUGCCCGGAGGGAGAGUACCCGCAGAAUAAGCAUCGGCUAACUCCGUGCCAGCAGCCGCGGUAAUACGGAGGAUGCGAGCGUUAUCCGGAGUGACUGGGUGUAAAGAGUUGCGUAGGUGGCAUAGUAAGUAGCUAGUGAAAUCUGGUGGCUCAACCAUUCAGACUAUUAGCUAAACUGCUAAGCUCGAGACCGUUAGGGGUAACUGGAAUUUCUAGUGUAGGAGUGAAAUCCGUAGAUAUUAGAAGGAACACCGAUAGCGUAGGCAGGUUACUGGGACGGUUCUGACACUAAGGCACGAAAGCGUAGGGAGCAAACGGGAUUAGAUACCCGUGUAGUC